AUCCUUUGACCACUCUAGAGAUAGAGCUUUCCCUUCGGGGACAAAGUGACAGGUGGUGCAUGGUUGUCGUCAGCUCGUGUCGUGAGAUGUUGGGUUAAGUCCCGCAACGAGCGCAACCCUUAUUGUUAGUUGCCAUCAUUUAGUUGGGCACUCUAGCGAGACUGCCGGUGACAAACCGGAGGAAGGUGGGGAUGACGUCAAAUCAUCAUGCCCCUUAUGACCUGGGCUACACACGUGCUACAAUGGGAAGUACAACGAGUCGCUAGACCGCGAGGUCAUGCAAAUCUCUUAAAGCUUCUCUCAGUUCGGAUUGCAGGCUGCAACUCGCCUGCAUGAAGCCGGAAUCGCUAGUAAUCGCGGAUCAGC
rnacentral:rRNA from 1 species